rnacentral:rRNA from 1 species
UUCUGGUUGAUCCUGCCAGAGGCUACCGCUAUUGGAGUUCGAUUAAGCCAUGCGAGUCGCGAGUUCUAGGGACUCGGCGUACCGCUCAGUAACACGUGGGUAACCUGCCCUAUGCAGGGGGAUAACCUCGGGAAACUGAGAAUAAUACCCCAUAGUUCACUACGCCUGGAACGGUGAGUGGAUGAAAGCUCCGGCGGCAUAGGAUGGGCCUGCGGCGUAUCAGGUUGUAGGGGGUGUAACGUACCCUCUAGCCCUCUACGCGUACGGGUGUUGGGAGACAUAGCCCGGAGAUGGAUUCUGAGACACGAAUCCAGACCCUACGGGGUGCAGCAGGCGCGAAAACUUGACAAUGCGAGAAAUCGUGAUCAGGGAACUCCAAGUGGCUGGGGUAAGACCCAGUCUUUUCUUGACUCUGCAAAGGUCUUGGAAUAAGGGGUGGGUAAGGACGGUGCCAGCCGCCGCGGUAAUACCGGCGCCUCAAGUGGUAGUCGCUUUUAUUGGGCCUAAAACGUCCGUAGCCGGUCUGAUACAUUCGUGGGUAAAUCAACUAGCUCAACUAGUUGAAUUCUGCGAGGACGGUCAGACUUGGGACCGGGAGAGGUGUGGGGUACGCUCAGGGUAGGGGUAAAAUCCUGUCAUCCUAAGCGGACCACCUGUUGCGAAGGCGCCACACUAGAACGGAUCCGACGGUCAGGGACGAAGCCUAGGGGCACGAACCGGAUUAGAUACCCGGGUAGUCCUAGGUGUAAACGCUGUGGACUUGAUGUUGGGGGCGCUCCGAGCGCUUCCAGUGUCGAAGCGAAGGUGAUAAGUCCACUGCCUGGGAAGUACGGUCGCAAGGCUGAAACUUAAAGGAAUUGGCGGGGGAGCACCGCAACCUGAGGAUUGUGCGGUUUAAUUGGAGUCAACGCCGGG